rnacentral:rRNA from 1 species
CACUCCUACGGGAGGCAGCAGUGGGGAAUAUUGGACAAUGGGCGCAAGCCUGAUCCAGCCAUGCCGCGUGAGUGAUGAAGGCCCUAGGGUUGUAAAGCUCUUUCACCGGUGAAGAUAAUGACGGUAACCGGAGAAGAAGCCCCGGCUAACUUCGUGCCAGCAGCCGCGGUAAUACGAAGGGGGCUAGCGUUGUUCGGAUUUACUGGGCGUAAAGCGCACGUAGGCGGACUAUUAAGUCAGGGGUGAAAUCCCGGGGCUCAACCCCGGAACUGCCUUUGAUACUGGUAGUCUUGAGUUCGAGAGAGGUGAGUGGAAUUCCGAGUGUAGAGGUGAAAUUUGUAGAUAUUCGGAGGAACACCAGUGGCGAAGGCGGCUCACUGGCUCGAUACUGACGCUGAGGUGCGAAAGCGUGGGGAGCAAACAGGAUUAGAAACCCUGGUAGUCCCA